rnacentral:tRNA from 1 species
GUGCGCCCUCGGGCACGGAGCCCUUUGACUUGAAGUGGUUGGCGAUGACCACGAAGGUGGGGGCAGCGGCGCGUUCGAGGCUCACGCGAGCGAACUC